UACAGAGGUCCCGAGCGUUGUUCGGAUUCACUGGGCGUAAAGGGUGCGUAGGUGGUGAGGUAAGUCGGAUGUGAAAGCUCGGAGCUCAACUCCGAAAUGGCAUUGGAAACUACCUUGCUCGAGGGUUUGAGGGGGGACUGGAAUACUUGGUGUAGCAGUGAAAUGCGUAGAUAUCAAGUGGAACACCAGUGGCGAAGGCGAGUCCCUGGAAAACUCCUGACACUGAGGCACGAAAGCCAGGGGAGCAAACAGG
rnacentral:rRNA from 1 species